rnacentral:rRNA from 1 species
GAAGAUUCUUCGGAUGAUUCUUAACUGACUGAGCGGCGGACGGGUGAGUAACGCGUGGGUGACCUGCCCCAUACCGGGGGAUAACAGCUGGAAACGGCUGCUAAUACCGCAUAAGCGCACAGAGCUGCAUGGCUCGGUGUGAAAAACUCCGGUGGUAUGGGAUGGGCCCGCGUCUGAUUAGGCAGUUGGCGGGGUAACGGCCCACCAAACCGACGAUCAGUAGCCGGCCUGAGAGGGCGACCGGCCACAUUGGGACUGAGACACGGCCCAAACUCCUACGGGAGGCAGCAGUGGGGAAUGUUGCACAAUGGGGGAAACCCUGAUGCAGCGACGCCGCGUGAGCGAAGAAGUAUUUCGGUAUGUAAAGCUCUAUCAGCAGGGAAGAUAAUGACGGUACCUGACUAAGAAGCCCCGGCUAACUACGUGCCAGCAGCCGCGGUAAUACGUAGGGGGCAAGCGUUAUCCGGAUUUACUGGGUGUAAAGGGAGCGUAGACGGCAAGGCAAGUCUGAUGUGAAAACCCAGGGCUUAACCCUGGGACUGCAUUGGAAACUGUCUGGCUCGAGUGCCGGAGAGGUAAGCGGAAUUCCUAGUGUAGCGGUGAAAUGCGUAGAUAUUAGGAAGAACACCAGUGGCGAAGGCGGCUUACUGGACGGUAACUGACGUUGAGGCUCGAAAGCGUGGGGAGCAAACAGG